rnacentral:rRNA from 1 species
GACCUCAACUCAAGUAAGAAUACCCGCUGAACUUAAGCAUAUCAAUAAGCGGAGGAAAAGAAACUAACAAGGAUUCCCUUAGUAACGGCGAGUGAAGAGGGAAAAGCUCAAAUUUAAAAUCGGCCCCCAGGUCGAGUUGUAAUUUGAAGAAGCGUUUUCGGUUCCUGUGAUUUGGUCUAAGUUCUUUGGAACAAGGCAUCAUGGAGGGUGAGAAUCCCGUUCAUGAUCAAAUUAUGGGUUACCAAUUGAUACGCUUUCUAAGAGUCGAGUUGUUUGGGAAUGCAGCCCAAAAUGGGUGGUAGAUUUCACCUAAGGCUAAAUAUAAGCGAGAGACCGAUAGCGAACAAGUACCGUGAGGGAAAGAUGAAAAGAACUUUGAAAAGAGAGUUAAAUAGUACGUGAAAUUGUUGAAAGGGAAACGAUUGAAGCCAGUCGUGCUGGCGAGAAAUCAGUUUUGACAAGUUUGGUGUUGGAGGUUGAAAUAGGGUCAAACCGUUUCUUCUUUUAACAUUAUUCUAGCCGGGGCGUAUUUUCUUGCUUUUGCAGGUCAACAUCGAUUUUGUGAAUCGUAAAAUAACUGGGGGAAUGUAGCUCUUUUUCGGAAGAGUGUUAUAGACCCUGGGAGAUGCGGUCCAUGAGAUCGAGGAUUGCAGCGAAUACCCUUCUGGGCUUGUCACCUAAUCUCUGGACGUGGUCUUGCUGAUGACAAUAUUUUUGACAUUGGCGAGAUUUAGCGGCCAUUAGGUUAGAGUGUUCUAAAAUUCGCUAAGGAUGUUGACGUAAUGGCUUUAAACGACCCGUCUUGAAACACGGACCAAGGAGUCUAACAUAUGUGCGAGUGUUU